CCAAUAGCGUAUAUUAAAGUUGCUGCGGUUAAAAAGCUCGUAGUUGAAUUUCGGAAUUGAUGCAUCGGUCGUGCCUUAAGGGGCAUGAACUGGUGUAGCCAAUUUCUCACCUUCUGGUGAAUUGUUGAUGUUCUUAAUGGGUGUCUCAAUGAACUAGAAUUUUUUACUUUGAAAAAAUUAGAGUGUUUAAAGCAGGCAUUAAUUUGCUUGAAUACAUUAGCAUGGAAUAAUGAAAUAGGACAGUGGUUCCGUUUUGUUGGUUUCUAGGAUCACGUAAUGAUUAAUAGGGACAGUUGGGGGCAGUAGUAUUCAAUUGUCAGAGGUGAAAUUCUUGGAUUUAUUGAAGACUAACUAUUGCGAAAGCAUUUGCCAAGGAUGUUUUCAUUAAUCAAGAACGAAAGUUAGGGGAUCAAAGACGAUUAAGUACGUCGUAGUCCUAACCAUAAACUAUACCGACUAGGAAUCAGACGAUGUUAAUUUUUUAAUGACUCGUUUGGUACCUUACG
rnacentral:rRNA from 1 species